GACGAACGCUGGCGGCGUGCUUAACACAUGCAAGUCGAACGGAAAGGCCCUGCUUGUGUGGGGUGCUCGAGGGGCGAACGGGGGAGGAACACGUGAGUAACCUGCCCUUGACUUUGGGAUAACUUCAGGAAACUGGGGCUAAUAUCGGAUAGGAGCUCCUGCUGCAUGGUGGGGGUUGGAAAGUUUCGGCGGUUGGGGCUGGACUCGCGGCUUAUCAGCUUGUUGGUUGGGUAGUGGCAUACCAAGGCUUUGACCGGUAGCCGGCCGGGGAGGGUGACCGGGCACCUUGGGACUGAGAUACGGCCCAGACUGCUACGGGAGGCAGCAGUGGCGAGUAUUGCACAGUGGGCGGAAGCCUGAUGCAGAAACGCCGCGUGCGGGAUGACGGCCUGCGGGUUGUGAACCGCUUUCGCCUGUGACGAAGCGUGAGUGACGGUACUGGGUGAAUAAGCACCGGCUAACUACGUG
rnacentral:rRNA from 1 species